rnacentral:rRNA from 1 species
GACGAACGCUGGCGGCGUGCUUAACACAUGCAAGUCGAACGGAAAGGCCCUGCUUGCAGGGUACUCGAGUGGCGAACGGGUGAGUAACACGUGGGUGAUCUGCCCUGCACUUCGGGAUAAGCCUGGGAAACUGGGUCUAAUACCGGAUAGGUGCCAUUUUUAGUGUGAUUGUUGGAAAGUUUUUUCGGUGUAGGAUGAGCUCGCGGCCUAUCAGCUUGUUGGUGGGGUAAUGGCCUACCAAGGCGGCGACGGGUAGGCGGCCUGAGAGGGUGGACGACGACACUGGGACUGAGGGACGGCCGAGACACCGACGGGAGGGAGAUGGGGGGAAUAUUGCACAAUGGGCGCAAGCCUGAUGCAGAGACGCCGCGGGGGGGAUGACGGCCUUCGGGUUGUAAACCCCGUUCGCUAGGAACGAAGCUUUUUGUGACGGUACCUAGAUAAGAAGCACCGGCUAACUAUGUG